rnacentral:rRNA from 1 species
ACGUAGGGGGCAAGCGUUGUCCGGAAUGAUUGGGCGUAAAGGGCGCGUAGGCGGCCUGGUAAGUCUGGAGUGAAAGUCCUGCUUUUAAUGUGGGAAUUGCUUUGGAUACUGCUGGGCUUGAGUGCAGGAGAGGUAAGUGGAAUUCCCGGUGUAGCAGUGAAAUGCGUAGAGAUGGGGAGGAACACGAAUGGCGAAGGCAGCUUACUGGACUGUAACUGACGCUGAGGCGCGAAAGUGUGGGGAGCAAACAG